AUAUGAUUACAAAUAUGGCUAAUUUUCUCAAGAUUGUUUAUGUUAUGAUCAUCUUUGUUUUCUUGUUUCUUGUUGUAACACCCGAACUUUCAAAGGCUACCUGUGAAGUUCUAAAUGUAGGAAGCAAAGUACUUUUAAAAGGAUGUAUUUCUGAUGAUGAUUGCAAAUUUGACGUGUGUAUUCCUCCUAAUGUUCUGGAGUGCUAUAAGAAUGAAUGCAAAUGUACUUGGAAAUGUAUUGAAGACUCUGAUUGUAAAUCUUUAUGGUGUUUUCCUCCAUUUAAAUAUGCUCCUAAGUGCGAUGGACAUGGAUGUAAAUGUGUUUAACAGCUAAAAAGACUUUUACUUUUGGAAGACAUGAAGAUCUAUAAUGUCACUCUAUAAUUACCGUUAUUUAUUUAAAUAAAUAAAGGAAUCAUGGUUAUGUAAAGUAAUAU